AUUCAGGUGGGCCUAGUGGAAUCAGGUGCGUUCCUAAAAGUGAAAGAGGGAAGCAGAGAUGUAGUCCGUCAAAGAUGUGACUGUGGAGGAAAGGCACAAAGAAUGCAACAUUACUGGCUUUAAAGAUGGAAGUGGGGCCGUGAGAUAAGGAAUGCAGGUAGCCUCUUGAAGCUGGAAAAGAAAAUCAUGACUAGCUUCUGGCCAUGACAAAAGUUAUGUCAGCAUCAUUAUGUAACACCUGUGAUCGGUGCAGAAUGGAAGAGGUUUAAGAACCAGAACGGAGUCCUCUAUAUAACUGAAAAGUUUCUCUACAAUGUUAAAUGUGCUGCUCAAUCCCCCGAAGUAAAGUAAAUGGCCUGCAGCGAAGUCUGAGGAAAGCUCUACAACACCAUGAAUAUAGCUCAUGAAAGCUGGCACAGAGGAAGAAUCUACAGGAUGCACCACAUGCAAUAAUUAUAGCAGCAGCUCUCAAAGGACUAAAGCACUAGAAACUGUAUUGCACCAAUCUGCAAUCAGGUAAAUUAAUCCUCAGAGGAGUCGUGUGCCACAGUCUCAAGUAAUCAGUAAUAAUUGUGUCAUAUUACUGAAGCACACUCCAAGAAGUGUAGUUUUUUUCUACCUGCUGAAUUGGCCUCAACAACUGAAACUUAUUAAGCUGUAACAGGAAUUCAAGCGCAUGAUCAAUG
rnacentral:lncRNA from 1 species